GAUGAACGCUGGCGGCGUGCCUAAUACAUGCAAGUCGAGCGAACAGACGAGGAGCUUGCUCCUCUGACGUUAGCGGCGGACGGGUGAGUAACACGUGGAUAACCUACCUAUAAGACUGGGAUAACUUCGGGAAACCGGCGCUAAUACCGGAUAAUAUAUUGAACCGCAUGGUUCAAUAGUGAAAGACGGUUUUGCGGUCACUUAUAGAUGGAUCCGCGCCGCAUUAGCUAGUUGGUAAGGUAACGGCUUACCAAGGCAACGAUGCGUAGCCGACCUGAGAGGGUGAUCGGCCACACUGGAACUGAGACACGGUCCAGACUCCUACGGGAGGCAGCAGUAGGGAAUCUUCCGCAAUGGGCGAAAGCCUGACGGAGCAACGCCGCGUGAGUGAUGAAGGUCUUCGGAUCGUAAAACUCUGUUAUUAGGGAAGAACAAAUGUGUAAGUAACUAUGCACGUCUUGACGGUACCUAAUCAGAAAGCCACGGCUAACUACGUG
rnacentral:rRNA from 1 species